ACUGCACAGACAAGUGUAGGAUGCUGCGCUGCUCCAGUCCUUGAUUAAAUCCAAUUCCCAAUCCCCCAAAGCUGCCCAUUCCCAGUUCCCCGUGGCUGAAGAGUUGCCUAUUGUGAAUGUGUCACUGCAGCAGCCGCCAGCUGGCACGUCAGCAUUUCCAUUGCAAGCCUAUUUUUAAAGGUCUGGAACUCAACCAUGGAAGACAAAUGUUUUGGAGUGUGUCCCGGGAAAGUUUGUCCUUCAGAAAAUAAAAAUCAGCUUGGUGACACUGAACCUGAACCAUGGCAAGGACAGCAGAGCUCUCCCCUGGAAAGCCAAGCAGUGGGAACAGAGGAAUAUCUGGAUAGUGCCUCAUUUAGCAGGAGCUCAGGAAGGAGGCUGCAAAAAGCAAAGUUUGAGGAAGCUGCUCUUGCUUGUUUCAUUCUGCUUUUGCCACUCUGGUAACGCCCCUGGAAGGGAACAGCACAUUUGCAGAGUCAGAGCAGCACAACCCUUCCCUGUUGUGUGCAUGAAUGCUCGUGGGGACAAAGCUCGUCCUGUUCGUGCCACUUGCCCUCCUACAGGAGGAAAAACAACUGUCCUGGUGCAACAGAAAUGUGUCCUUGGAUCCUUGAGUCCCUGCCAGAGCUGCUCCAGAGGAGGGACUGCUUCACACAGAGUCUGGGGAGCUCCAUGGGCUCAGAGGGUCAGCUGUGCCCAUUAAAAUGUGGAAAUCCUCUACACACCGAGGAAAUUGCUCAGGUCCUAGGGAGGAAUUCACUGCCCAUCCUCCAACACGAUCCAACAGCACAGCAAGACAUCACUGUCCCAGUCACAUUGAGCUUUUCCAGGACAAACCUGAAGCAGCAACUGCCAGCCAAUGGAUCUUUAAUCAGUGUCUUUCCUACAGAGAAAUGCCACAAAACACUUUGCAAGUCAUUACCUCCUUCUUAAUAACCACCAGCAGCCACGGGGUGCUGAGUAAGGAGCGACAGGGCUCACCACCACUCCUAGUUCUUUGUCACGUUCCCUCCUUUGCUGUAAAUCUACAGGGACAAGCAAUUAUGGAGAGUCUUCAACAAGUUGACUUUGACACUGAAAGAGCUCCUUGUCCUCUCACUGAGGAGCUGUCACAGGCAUCGAUGGAGCUGUGGCAGAGCAGCCGAAAGUGCUAAAAAAUUGACAGACGAGCAGACUUUCAGUGAUAAGGAAAAAAAUCCAGUCCACGCCACAAGAGAGGCAGAUUGUCACCGCCCUUAAUGGGAGGGAUUUUUAGUAAAUGUUGUGAAUUGGCUUCAGUGGGAAACAGGAGCACUCAAGGGAGGAAACAUCUCACAGGAUGAGGUCAGACUUCUAGAACGGCUCUUACCACAGCCCAGCCCAGCAGCAGAGCCACAGCAAUGAACCACCUCUGAACAGCAAGAAUAAUUCUGCUGGGGCACCUCAGCCUCCCUAGCAAAGCUACAAAACCUCAGCUCCAGCCUAGUUUCAGUUUGCAUUUCACCAGUUUUGGUGUUUUGAAGCAAGUUUAAAGAAUGUAAUUCUGAGCACCGAUAUUUAUCUCAUAAAAGGAGAAUCUUUGAUUUUUCUUCCUGCAACAAACACAGUGUGGUACUGAUGCCUCUGGAAGGCCAGCAAAAAGCAGCAGGGCAGGACUCUUCCAAAGAGGAGCAUCUGAUUUUUUAAUACAAAAAAAUUAAUAAGCCUCACUUUUAAAAUCUGCUAACAGUAAUCUUGAGGAAAAAAGAAAUAAUGCUGGGUUUGUGUGGGAAGGAAGCAGAUUUAAAUCUCAAAUGAAUGACAUACCUUGUAAUUACAGGAGCCAUUGAAAGAGAUAGUCAGAAUUAAAAUACUUCCAAUAUUCACAGCGAAAUAUUAAUUUGAAAAUUUUCAAGGGUGGAUAACUGCGCAUAAACAGAGGCAGAUGAUCAAGGGCUGAAGUUCAAAUUAACUGGGAGGAAGAAGUCAGCCUUGUUAAAUGAUAUCUAAAAUUGUCCCUGAGCUCAGCAGCGAGGGCUUGAGGCAGCGUUUGGCUGGGCGAGCAGCAGCUUGGAUUUACUGUGAAAUUGUGCCUUUGUGAGUGCCACAACUGCCUCCCAGCAAUGCCUUUCAGAAGCUCAUGAACUCUGAGAAUGCUUCAAAAUUUAAAUUAAAACACCUUUCCAAAUUUUCAAUCACCAAACAAUGGGUGAUUAAGAACAAUCAUUAAGCUUGCAGCAACAGAAGUAAUGUAUUUCUUCCGUUAUGACAAAGUCCUUACUGCUUCAUGCAUUUUAAUAAGACACUUAUAAAGUAUUUUAUGUUGCACCUAGCUAUUAAUAUUGGCUAUUUGGCACUCUAGGUGGAAGAUGUUUUCACUCAGAGAUGAUUCCAUCUGUAUUAACGCUACAAAUAAAACUAUGAAC
ensembl:lncRNA